rnacentral:rRNA from 1 species
UCGGGAAUUUUGGGCAAUGGGCGCAAGCCUGACCCAGCAACGCCGCGUGAAGGAUGAAAUCCUUCGGGAUGUAAACUUCGCAAGAACGGGAAGAAUAAGUAAGAGUUAAUAUCUCUUACGAUGACGGUACUGUUUGUAAGCUCCGGCUAACUCCGUGCCAGCAGCCGCGGUAAUACGGAGGGUGCAAGCGUUAUCCGGAUUCACUGGGUUUAAAGGGUGCGUAGGUGGGUUGGUAAGUCAGUGGUGAAAUCCCCGAGCUUAACUUGGGAACUGCCAUUGAUACUAUCAGUCUUGAAUAUCGUGGAGGUCAGCGGAAUAUGUCAUGUAGCGGUGAAAUGCUUAGAUAUGACAUAGAACACCAAUUGCGAAGGCAGCUGGCUACACGAAUAUUGACACUGAGGCACGAAAGCGUGGGGAUCAAA